UACCGAACGCUUGUUUUCUUGUGGGUGCAACUAGUUCUCGCAGGCUGAAGCAGGAACCGAGUCUGAACAGUCAUAAGGUGAAAGGAGAAGGACCGGGGGGAAUCCAGCCCACUCUUCGCAGUGGGCUGGAAUCGUUUGAGGCGCAAGGAGUGGGAGUGAGGCAGGCUGGGAAAAAGGCCAGCUUUUGAGGCAAGAGAGUGGAGGAAGGGAACGCUUAAAGACGGACUCCCUGCGCCACUGCAGCCCCCUGUUUACCUCCACCCCUUCCUCUGGUCCAAUCAUGAUGCAGGCUGAAGACACAUUCUGCUGAAACCGUCAAUUCUUUGUGGAUUUGUAGGCCACAGAAAGACAGAUAGGGAGAGGGACGCCGAGCAGCAGAGGGAGAGGGAGAGGGAGACAGAGAGCAGUCUGUGAUCAAACAGGGCUUUGCCAGCUUCCUUAUUAUCUCUCGAAUGUUGCAUAACUCUUUGUAAUUAUUGGCACUCAGUCAAUUAUUCUUAGGUCCUGAAUUUUUUUUUUUUUAAAGUUACUAAAAAAACAAACAAAGGCGGUAAUAAUAAUUAAAUGUAAUAUUACUUUGAGACACAAGGGGGCAAGAUAAGACAUUUUCUUCAGGGAUAGUGGACUCCUCUCUCACACCUGCAGUGUGCUUAGGUCCCCGAGUCCUUUGAUGUCAUGAGAAUAUAAAUGAUAUUUUUAUUACUGUGGCUGUGUGGACUCUCAGUGGCGCGACUUGUUAACCACAAAGAUGAUUUAGAGGAGUGAGACUGACUGAGAUUGAGAUGUGAAUAUUUUUUGUUUCUAUUUGGUUGUUGUGUAUCUUUUCUGCUUUUAUUUUGUAAUCUUCUUCCUUUACCCUCUUCAAUUAAAUGAUUGGUUUCUCCUUGGGUGCAGUCUU